UACCCUAUUUCCAUUCACAAAUGCGAGUAUUCAUUAAGUAUGUGUCUUAUCAGCAGACUGUCCUCCAAGGCGGAGUGUGAUAGAACAUUUAAGAUGAUAGUCAAUUGGGCCACACUCCUAAUUGACUCGUGAUUAAUGCCAGAGCUGAUUAAUAAAGUGAAGUUAGCCCUCUUCCUCUGGGCUGCGAUAGGAGGAGGAGUGAUAGAUAGGUUUUGAGUGCUGAUGCAUGGCAGUGAACAGAGGAUCAACUGGGCCAUUCUUCCAGCUGUAGGCUGGUUAGUUUAGCAUGUAACAUUGUUUUAGUAUGAUAAUCUGAUUUUUAAUGGCUCCAAGUUGAUGUCAGAUGUGGCUAUACGUAUUAUGUUUCUGGGCUGUCUGUACAUGUCUUCUUUGCAGCAACGUCAAGUGAUGACAGCACAGGAAAUUGUUCCCUGGAAUCAUACAUGUCUGAGGGCCAUAAUAGAUUAGCUUGGAAAAUCCAAACUGAAUCUCUAUGUAAUCUCCUAUCUCCAUGUUAGGAGAUACAGGAGAGUCAGUUUGGCAUUGUGCGAAUUGAAUCAGUACAGUUUGGUACGACCAAUCAUAGCACGGGAGGCGGGAGUUAAUGCUGCGUCAUCUUCAGCGCCUGGAUUCAGCGCCGGAGGAGGAGGAGGUGGGCUGUAAUGCACCAAGAAGCUGGAUGCCAACUGCCGUAAAACAAGAAGAAGGAGGAGGAGGAGGGGGGCCAAAGCAAAUCUUUUUGUGGUCUCUUGGUGUUUUGGAUGGCGUUAGUCGUUGCCUCUUUUCACUUGACAUUUCCGACGAUGAGGGGGCAGUGGAUGGCUCGUUACUUUCGGCUUCUUGCCAUUGUUUGUACAGAGGAAAAUCCCGUUCCAAACGUCAAACUGGCCGGACUACUUUCUUCUGGACCAAAACCAGACCGGAUCUCUGCUCACCGGACGCUGUCGGGGAUGCAGCGUGGUGGUGCUAGUUCUGUGCUGAGCCAGCAGCCACGAAUGUCUCCUGUUUCGGGGCCCGCUGGGAGCCGUCCACCAAGUCGAUCAAUACCUGGACUGUCUGGGCUAGCCGGCUCAGCCCUUCGUCCUCCAUGAUGAGCUGAGGAGAACACAAGGUAUCCUGGGAGAAGAAGGAAGGAGCUGUGAGUAGAUACAAAGGUCCCAACGGAAGCACUGAAGGCCAAGAUCUGGAACAUCCGUUUGUUCAAGCAACAACAGUGCUCAACCCUUCCUCAGUCGGAUGGAGCACACUGGCAGUCCAGUCACCAAAUUCAAAUCAUGGAUUGUAGAUGAGGCUUAAUGAGGAUCUGGGCACUCAAUGCAUGUAAGUAAUGUGGUCUGAGUACAGCUAAUAAAACACAAAGAUUUAGAACAAUCAAUCAUUUGGCUUGCUACACCAAUAAGAACAAUGACUGUGUGUCAUAUAUGUAGCCAAUGGGGCUGCUGGGACACUGAACCUCAACAAUGUAGUUAUCUUGGUUGUGGAACAACAAGGCAGAAUGAUGAAAGCUGCCUGCUGGGUUUCAACACAAACAGGGGUGUGGAAUGUAGCUGCUGCUGACACUAAAAUACAAUCAAGUGUCUUACAAAAUCUGAAAUUUUGACCCAAUUAACAAGUGACAGGGGGUCUGUAUAUGCAUAGAAUGUGUAAUAAAAAUGCAGCAAUUCUUACAGCUGUUUCACUGAUCAAGACAGAGUCAGUGAGUCUGUACUGUUAACUUUUUGCAGAUAACAGCACCCAAAAGCAUACAAGUUUGAGGCUCAGUGAGUGACUAACUGUAAGUAAUGGGAACUUCAGUCUAUUGACUUUUCCCAGCCCUUCAAAUACACAGUAACUGACCUUGUAAAACACGGAAGAAAAAGACAGAAAAGUGAUAAAGCUUUAACUGUGUCACUUGGAGUGACAGAGUACACAGUCUUCAUUCAGGGAAACACAUUGCUCAAUUAAAAUGGAAGCAGCUGAAGAGAAUUAAAGGCGAUAUGUACAUGCAUUUCCGAUAUGCUUGUAAACUUUGGCACAAAUCCUGGAAACAAAUGAGAUCUUGGUGGAGGUCAGGCCUAGAGUCCACUGCCAACAGUGAUAUAACUAGCAGU